rnacentral:misc_RNA from 1 species
GAAAUGCGAUACGUAAUGUGAAUUGCUUUCCGUGAAUCAUCAAAUCUUUGAACGCAUAUUGCACUCAUUUAGAGUAUGCCUGUUUGAGAAUCUAUAGUAAAUCUUAUUCCUUUUUUGACUGUGAAAACAGAAGCACUAGCGAAUAGAUAUGAAGCAUCCCUCCUCUUGUAGAAGGGUCCUUUGAAAUAGAUUGCUUGUAAUUUUAGAAGAAUGCUUGACAUUCCUCAUUAACCUUGCAGAAAAGUAUGUGAAUGGAACUUCUGUUUCUCAUUAUGCCUAUUAGUAAGGGAGGAGUUUAGUUUGACUAUUGUUAGGAGUUCUUAACCAUAAAUUGUUUAAUUACAAUUUGAACACAUGGUCUCAAAUCAGGUAGGAAGACCCGCUGAACUUAA